AAAGCAUACAUCUUUUGUAUCAUGUUAUAUCAUGGGUUUUACGAUGUUCAUACCAAUGGGUGGGUCUGCCAGCACUCUAUUUCUGUUUUACUUUCUUGAAAAGUGAACACCA